rnacentral:tRNA from 1 species
CGUCCGACGGGGCGGACGGCACCGUGUCCUGGUACGACGCGGACAAGGGCUUCGGGUUCAUCACGCCCGAGUCGGGCGGCC